UGCAGCGACGCCGCGUGAAGGAGAAGGUCUUCGGAUUGUAAACUCCUGUUGUUGAGGAAGAUAAUGACGGUACUCAACAAGGAAGUGACGGCUAACUACGUGCCAGCAGCCGCGGUAAAACGUAGGUCACAAGCGUUGUCCGGAAUUACUGGGUGUAAAGGGAGCGCAGGCGGGAAGACAAGUUGGAAGUGAAAUCCAUGGGCUCAACCCAUGAACUGCUUUCAAAACUGUUUUUCUUGAGUAGGGCAGAGGUAGGCGGAAUUCCCGGUGUAGCGGUGGAAUGCGUAUAUAUCGGGAGGAACACCAUUGGCGAAGGCGGCCUACUGGGCACCAACUGACGCUGAGGCUCGAAAGUGUGGGUAGCAAACAGGAUUAAAUACCCUGGUAGUCCACACU
rnacentral:rRNA from 1 species